GCUCCCGUGGUCCAAUGGUCAGGAUACCGACCUUCUAAGUCGGGGAUUGCGAGUUCGAGUCUCGCCGGGAGCU
rnacentral:tRNA from 2 species